rnacentral:misc_RNA from 1 species
GGACAACCUUCCGAAUGCUAGUGCAUCAUUCCUCAAGGUAAUUUGAUAUGCUUCUUUAUAGUUAAGUUCAAGAAUUUUUUUGGUAGUUGCAAGUGUUAAAGAGGAGAAACUCAGUACCAAUAUCAGAAGAAACAUGAGGAAUAUAGUUGCUAUAAAUUCAGGUUUCAGGUUAACAAUCAAACCAGUAUGCAUCUCAAUGAAUAAAUUGACAAUGAUUGUGAUUACCAGGAUGUCCAGAGCUACAACGUUCGACAAAAUUUCUUUGUUACUCAUGGCUCCUAUUGAUGGCAUGAAGUUACCUAUAACAACACACAUGAAAACAGUACUGGCUAGUUUGGAAAGCUGGUCAGUAUGGCCUGGCAUCGGUUCAGAUAUCUCGACAGGCAACUUCAUUGCUACAGCUAACACUGUAAGAGAAGCAGCAUUCAGCGCAAAGAAUUUGCAUGGGAACCAAAGUCUCUUCACGCGGAAGGCUUGGAAAGCAUCAGCAGCCAUAGCAAGGAUACAAAGUAGAGAUGCUGCUGCUACAUAGAUACCGAUCAUUGGCAUUGGGCUACUGAACGAUUCGUU